ensembl:snoRNA
AAGCCAGCCAGUGAGUCUGCAUUCCUAAAUAUGUAUAUAAAGAGAUUUAGGUAAAGUUGGCAAUAACAGUGUCAUGACAUGAGCCUUAAGGACAAUCAAAGUCAUUGAGGUCCCUGAAAAUGGCUACAACA